rnacentral:rRNA from 1 species
UACGUAGGUGGCGAGCGUUGUCCGGAUUUACUGGGCGUAAAGAGCGCGCAGGCGGUCGUUCAAGUCGCGUGUGAAAGCCCCCGGCUCAACUGGGGAGGGUCACGCGAUACUGAUCGACUCGAAGGCAGGAGAGGGAAGUGGAAUUCCCGGUGUAGUGGUGAAAUGCGUAGAUAUCGGGGGGGAAUACCAGUGGCGAAAGCGGCACCCUAGCGUUAGCCUGACGCUCAUGUGCGAAAGCGUGGGGAGCGAACGGG